rnacentral:sRNA from 1 species
GGCUGGUUGGAGGAGGUGGAUCACCGUUUCUGCGGUGGACGAUUUCGUCGGUGGUAGGCUGCUACCAUGAGGUUGAAUCAGAACACCUUGCUGCUGGGGAAGAAGGUGGUCCUUGUACCCUACACCUCGGAGCAUGUGCCCAGACUGCUCCUCCGCACUGACCCAAUACAGGAUAGGAAGUUGGACAGAUAGAACUGACUCCUGCUGUUCUUGUGUACCACGAGUGGAUGAAAUCAGAGGAGCUGCAGCGUUUGACAGCCUCAGAGCCGCUGACCCUGGAGCAGGAGUAUGCCAUGCAGCGCAGCUGGCGGGAAGAUGCAGACAAGUGUACCUUCAUUGUGCUGGAUGCCGAGAAGUGGCAGGCCCAGCCAGGCACCACUGAAGAGAGCUGCAUGGUGGGAGAUGUGAACCUCUUCCUCACGGAUCUAGAAGACCCCACCUUGGGGGAGAUCGAGGUCAUGAUUGCAGGUUUGUUUCACCUAGCCCUGCCUUCCCCCGACUCCUGGCUCUCAGAUCUGCUGACUGAGCCUGCCGAGGCCGCAUAGGGUGGGCACUCACAGGGUUCACUGGGAGGCUCCAUGUGGUGAGCCCAGGGCCUGGCUGGGCAGCCUGCUCACCUAGCCCCCUCAGCCUGGUGGUACACCCCCAGGCUCAUCACUUUACUCCUUAUGCUUAGGUGUGAACUUAACCC